rnacentral:tRNA from 1 species
AGCUCUGAGGUGUAACACAUUUCGGAUUGCAAAUCCGGCGUAGCAGGCUAAAAUCCUGCCGGAGCUU